rnacentral:rRNA from 1 species
UACGUAGGGUCCGAGCGUUUGUCCGGAAUUAUUGGGCGUAAAGAGCUCGUAGGCGGUUUGUCGCGUCUGCUGUGAAAUCCCGAGGCUCAACCUCGGGCCUGCAGUGGGUACGGGCAGACUGGAGUGCGGUAGGGGAGAAUGGAAUUCCUGGUGUAGCGGUGGAAUGCGUAGAUAUCGGGAGGAACACCAGUGGCGAAGGCGACUACCUGCCCGGUACUGACGCUGAGGUGCGAAAAGCGUGGGGAGCAAACAGGG